rnacentral:rRNA from 1 species
GAUGAACGCUGGCGGCGUGCCUAAUACAUGCAAGUCGAGCGAAUGGAUUAAGAGCUUGCUCUUAUGGAGUUAGCGGCGGACGGGUGAGUAACACGUGGGUAACCUGCCCAUAAGACUGGGAUAACUCCGGGAAACCGGGGCUAAUACCGGAUAACAUUUUGAACCGCAUGGUUCGAAAUUGAAAGGCGGCUUCGGCUGUCACUUAUGGAUGGACCCGCGUCGCAUUAGCUAGUUGGUGAGGUAACGGCUCACCAAGGCAACGAUGCGUAGCCGACCUGAGAGGGUGAUGGGCCACACUGGGAUUGAAACACGGCCCCGACUCCUACGGGAGGCAGCAGUAGGGAAUCUUCCGCAAUGGACGAAAGUCUGACGGAGCAACGCCGCGUGAGUGAUGAAGGCUUUCGGGUCGUAAAACUCUGUUGUUAGGGAAGAACAAGUGCUAGUUGAAUAAGCUGGCACCUUGACGGUACCUAACCAGAAAGCCACGGCUAACUACGUGCCAGCAGCCGCCGUAA